ACGCUGGCGGCGUGCCUAACACAUGCAAGUCGAACGAGAUGCGUAUCGGAAAGCUUCGGCCGGAAGAUACGUUAUCUAGUGGCGGACGGGUGAGUAACACGUGGGUAACCUGCCUUAUGGAGGGGGAUAACAGAGAGAAAUCACUGCUAAUACCGCAUAAGCACACAGUACCGCAUGGUAGAGUGUGAAAAGAUUUAUCGCCAUAAGAUGGACCCGCGUCUGAUUAGCCAGUUGGCAGGGUAAAAGCCUACCAAAGCGACGAUCAGUAGCCGAUCUGAGAGGAUGACCGGCCACAUUGGGACUGAGACACGGCCCAAACUCCUACGGGAGGCAGCAGUGGGGAAUAUUGCACAAUGGGGGAAACCCUGAUGCAGCGACGCCGCGUGAGUGAAGAAGUAUUUCGGUAUGUAAAGCUCUAUCAGCAGGGAAGAUAAUGACAGUACCUGACUAAGAAGCCCCGGCUAACUACGUGCCAGCAGCCGCGGUAAUACGUAGGGGGCAAGCGUUAUCCGGAUUUACUGGGUGUAAAGGGAGCGUAGACGGAGUGGCAAGUCUGAAGUGAAAACCCUGGGCUUAACCUGGGGACUGCUUUGGAAACUGUUAAUCUAGAGUGUUGGAGAGGUAAGUGGAAUUCCUGGUGUAGCGGUGAAAUGCGUAGAUAUCAGGAAGAACACCGGAGGCGAAGGCGGCUUACUGGACAAUAACUGACGUUGAGGCUCGAAAGCGAGGGGAUCAAACAGGAUUAGAUACCCUGGUAGUCCACGCUGUAAACGAUGAAUACUAGGUGUCGGGGAGCGAAGCUUCUCGGUGCCGUCGCAAACGCAAUAAGUAUUCCACCUGGGGAGUACGUUCGCAAGAAUGAAACUCAAAGGAAUUGACGGGGACCCGCACAAGCGGUGGAG
rnacentral:rRNA from 1 species